rnacentral:lncRNA from 1 species
ACAACGUCAGAGCAACAAUCAUCCUGAAAAUGUUCCCUUGUGAAUUCAAAUGAACUCCUCACGUAGGAGAUACUACCAGCAUGUCUACUUUACAAAUGGGGAAACUGAGUCCCAAAAAGGUGAAUUUCUUCAUUCGCCAUCAUGAAGAUAGGAACUGAAUAACCUGGACCUGAGCCCAGAAUCCAUUCACAACAAUGCCUCUGAAUUCAUCCCCGUCUCUCCUUCAAGAAUAAGAAGAGGCCAGCUGACAUCCUCAAAAAUGCGGUCAUGUUGAAGGUCAUUAACUGAAACACAAUCUAGGACCUAUAAGCCUAAGUCUGCCAAGCCAGUUCCAGUGCAAUUUCCCUAAGAAACAAAACAAAGAUGAAUAGAGACAGAAUAAAGCACUGAAUAAAUGCAGAGAGUGGGCUUUGAAUAAUGAACAAGACUGUUUCAUUCCUGAUCUGUUACAGUGACAGUUACCUGGCAUUGUUCUGAACUCCUUACACAGACUCUCUCCGUCACUAUCCUGACUCCAGUGCUUUGAGGCUGGUGCCAUUAUCACCAUUUUACAGAUGUGGAAACUGAAGCGUAGAAAGGGUUUUGGGGUACAUGUGAAGAACAUGCAAGACAGUUGCAUAGGUACACACGUGGCAGUGUCAUUUGCUGCCUUCCUCCCCUUCACCUAUAUCUGGCAUUUCUCCCCAUGUUAUCUCUCCCCAAAUCCCCACCCCCCACCGUCCCUCCCCUAUUCCCCCCAACAGACCCCAGUGUGUAGUGCUCCCCUUCCUGUGUCCAUGUGUUCUCAUUGUUCAUCACCCGCCUAUGAGUGAGAACAUGCGGUAUUUCAUUUUCUGUUCUUGUGUCAGUUUGCUGAGAAUGAUGUUCUCCAGGUUCAUCCAUGUCCCUACAAAGAACACGAACUCAUCAUUUUUGAUGGCUGCAUAAUAUUCCAUGGUGUAUAUUUGCCACAUUUUCCCUGUCCAGUCUAUCAUCGAUGGGCAUUUGGGUUGGUUCCACGUCUUUGCUAUUGUAAACAGUGCUGCAAUGAACAUUCGUGUGCAUGUAAACACUGACAUUUGAAUGUCAUAUCAUUUUCACAUUUCUUCAAAUAUUCUUUUAAAUUUUUUCACCCAUUUAAAAACAUACAAACCAUUCUUACCAUCACAGUCCCUAUAAUAACAGGUGGCAGGCCAUAUUCAAGCCACAAACCAUAGUUUGUGACCCUUGAUCAAGAGGAC